AGCUUGCUUUUCUGAAUCUAGUGGCGCACGGGUGAGUAACACGUAGGUAACCUGCCCAUGUGCCCGGGAUAACUUCUGGAAACGGAUGCUAAAACCGGAUAGGUAGCAGACAAGCAUUUGACUGCUAUUAAAGUGGCCUUGGCCAUGAACAUGGAUGGACCUGCGGUGCAUUAGCUAGUUGGUGAGGUAACGGCCCACCAAGGCGACGAUGCAUAGCCGGCCUGAGAGGGCGGACGGCCACAUUGGGACUGAGACACGGCCCAAACUCCUACGGGAGGCAGCAGUAGGGAAUUUUCGUCAAUGGGGGGAACCCUGAACGAGCAAUGCCGCGUGAGUGAGGAAGGUCUUCGGAUCGUAAAGCUCUGUUGUAAGAGAAAAACGGCACUCAUAGGGAAUGAUGAGUGAGUGAUGGUAUCUUACCAGAAAGUCACGGCUAACUACGUGCCAGCAGCCGCGGUAAUACGUAGGUGGCGAGCGUUAUCCGGAAUGAUUGGGCGUAAAGGGUGCGUAGGUGGCAGAUCAAGUCUGGAGUAAAAGGUAUGGGCUCAACCCGUACUGGCUCUGGAAACUGAUCAGCUAGAGAACAGAAGAGGACGGCGGAACUCCAUGUGUAGCGGUAAAAUGCGUAGAUAUAUGGAAGAACACCGGUGGCGAAGGCGGCCGUCUGGUCUGGAUUCUGACACUGAAGCACGAAAGCGUGGGGAGCAAAUA
rnacentral:rRNA from 1 species